rnacentral:lncRNA from 1 species
GGAAAGAGCAAAGUACAGCUGGAGCCAGGUAGGUGCAGCCAUGAUCCCAGAACUGGGGCAGUGGUGUGCAGUGGAACGGGGCCUUUUUGCACUGUAGCACCUCUUGUGGAUCAAAGGUACCUUCAAGGUAUCACAUGUGGCACGCCCUGAGCUGACUCAGCCAUCCGUGCCAGGGCAGGGAUUUUGGGCAUUGCUUGAAGUCAAAGCUGACUGCAGGACCUGACCUGCCCAGCCCAGCCCUUGUGAACGGCCUCUGGUGUUCAGAUUGUGAGAUGGGAAGGAUCCACACUGAGGAUUUGAAGCCUUUUGCAAUUCAAGAUUUGUGUUUUUCAGGACUGGGUCCCAGCUGAGUCACUGUUGCUGACUGGGUCAGCGUGGGCUCUUCUGAAGUCACAGCCAGCCUGCCUCUGAUCAGAUGAACCGACCUGCUUAAAAGAAGACUUCAAAAGCUGAAGCACAGGAACCCCAGGACAGAUGAAUAUUGCUACCCUGUAUUUGCAGGUACUCCUGGCUCUGCUCUGUGUUUGCACAUGGGGCCAUAAACUCAGUGACAUCUAUAGAACGGUUCUUGCAGGCAGCUCCCGUUUAUAACCACCCAGCUAUUGUAGGAACCAUCCUGUGGCCACCUGCUCUCCCCAGGUGUCAGCUUGUACUGCAGUCACUACCCAAAUCUUGCUGUGGAUCUGGGCUUUGGUGACCAUUCUCAGGUAAUUCCAGGAAAUUGCCAUCAUGAGCCUCUUCACAGCCGGUAGCUAAAUGGCACUGCUUUACAGCAAUACUGAGCAGUGCUGCAGUUUUGUGAGUGUGGCUCAAGGCUGGCUGCAGUACACCACAGCUUUGUGCUGCCUUCCAGUUGGUUGUUGAUUUUUCCAGGACUGUCCUUUUUUUGGCAAUUUCUGUGUCAGUCUAUUCCUCUGGAGGACUCAUGAAGCUCUAGCAGUGUACAAACCUGACUUUGCAAAAAACUGUGACGUUCCUGCAGUUUGUUUGCCUGCCAGUGGAUCUGCAUCACUUUAUCCAUUUCAUUUGUUCUGAAUUUCCCUUCUAAGAAAAAAAUCAAGAAACAGGAGAUGCCUGGGGGAAUGCUCUUGUCUUUUCCUCUGUCUGGCUCACAGAGCUG